rnacentral:miRNA from 1 species
AUUUACAGUCAAACCGGAUGCUCUCUUGCAAGCAAUAUUGUCCCACAAUAUUGCAAUGUUGCUUGCAAGAGACAUCCGGUUUGACUGUAAUAGGA